UCAACUUAUUUUGUGUUUAUUGGAAGCUACCAGAAAACUGUCAACUGUUAACAAAAUAAGGGACCGUAACGAUUUCUCCUAUGUGAAGCUUACAAUCAAGUUAAGGUCAACAGACUUUCCCCACUUCAGAGGAAGUUGAUGCCUCACUCCUACUCUCCCUUCACCCUCAGUGUUAGCAAGUACACAGACAUUUCACAGACUAGAUUCCUGACAGCCCUUGGUCUCAGAUGCCGGCUGCACAGCUGCUGGAAAGUGAACUGAGUUUCAGGCAGCCUCUGCAUAAAUUCUGAGGUUAACCUUGUAGUCCUGGUGCGGUGAAGGCCAGAAGAAGGCAGUGAAUUCCCUGGAAUACAGGCAGUUGUGAUCCACUCAGUGGGGGUGCUCAGAACAUUACCUGCAUCCUUUACAAGAGCAGCAAGUGCUCUUGACUGAUGAACCAUCUCUCUCAUCCCAAACUGAGAUGUUUUUUCCCCCCAAAGAAUAAAUUAUUUCAAACAUAAUUCAAGUCCCUUUGAAGGACUUGCCUCACAGCAUUUAUACCUCAUCAUGCCUAUGAGAAAAUUGCUGCUUUGUAUAUGAGGUCUCUCUGGAGGGCAGCAUCUUGCUAUCACAAGACUGGCUUUUUAAAAGAGAAGAUUGAAAGCUAAGGAUGAUGGAUCUUCACUCACCAAAGUCAGUGUUCAACAGCAUUACAGUUUCUACAUGUCCCCCAAA